AGAACGAACGCUGGCGGCAGGCCUAACACAUGCAAGUCGAACGGGAUCUUCGGAUCUAGUGGCGGACGGGUGAGUAACGCGUGGGAACGUGCCCUUUGGUUCGGAAUAGCCCUGGGAAACUGGGAGUAAUACCGGAUGUGCCCUUCGGGGGAAAGAUUUAUCGCCAAAGGAUCGGCCCGCGUUGGAUUAGGUAGUUGGUGGGGUAAUGGCCUACCAAGCCGACGAUCCAUAGCUGGUUUGAGAGGAUGAUCAGCCACACUGGGACUGAGACACGGCCCAGACUCCUACGGGAGGCAGCAGUGGGAAUCUUAGACAAUGGGGGAAACCCUGAUCUAGCCAUGCCGCGUGAUCGAUGAAGGCCUUGGGUAGUAAAGAUCUUUACAGGUGGGAAGAUAAGUGACGGUACCACAAGAAGAACGCCCCGGAUAACGUCCGUAGACCGAGACACGACCGC
rnacentral:rRNA from 1 species